rnacentral:rRNA from 1 species
AACGUGUCGCGAUGGAUGACUUGCCUUCC